AACGAACGCUGGCGGCAUGCCUAACACAUGCAAGUCGAACGAGACCUUCGGGUCUAGUGGCGCACGGGUGCGUAACGCGUGGGAACCUGCCUUUAGGUUCGGAAUAACUCAGAGAAAUUUGAGCUAAUACCGGAUGAUGUCUUCGGACCAAAGAUUUAUCGCCUUUAGAUGGGCCCGCGUUGGAUUAGCUAGUUGGUGGGGUAAAGGCCUACCAAGGCGACGAUCCAUAGCUGGUCUGAGAGGAUGAUCAGCCACACUGGGACUGAGACACGGCCCAGACUCCUACGGGAGGCAGCAGUGGGGAAUAUUGGACAAUGGGCGAAAGCCUGAUCCAGCAAUGCCGCGUGAGUGAUGAAGGCCUUAGGGUUGUAAAGCUCUUUUACCCGAGAUGAUAAUGACAGUAUCGGGAGAAUAAGCUCCGGCUAAACUCCGUG
rnacentral:rRNA from 1 species